UACGAAGGACCCGAGCGUUAUCCGGAUUUAUUGGGUUUAAAGGGUGCGUAGGCGGCCCUGUAAGUCAGUGCUGAAAUAUCCCGGCUUAACCGGGAGGGUGGCAUUGAUACUGCGGGGCUAGAGUACAGAUGAGGUAGGCGGAAUUGACGGUGUAGCGGUGAAAUGCUUAGAUAUCGUCAAGAACACCUAUAGCGAAGGCAGCUUACUAGGCUGUAACUGACGCUGAGGCACGAAAGUGUGGGGAUCAAACAGG
rnacentral:rRNA from 1 species